UCCGUAGGUGAACCUGCGGAAGGAUCAUUACCGAGUUGAUUCGGGCUCGGCCCGAUCCUCCCACCCUUUGUGUACCUACCUCUGUUGCUUUGGCGGGCCGCGGUCCUCCGCGGCCGCCCCCCUCCCCGGGGGGGUGGCCAGCGCCCGCCAGAGGACCAUCAAACUCCAGUCAGUAAACGAUGCAGUCUGAAAAACAUUUAAUAAACUAAAACUUUCAACAACGGAUCUCUUGGUUCUGGCAUCGAUGAAGAACGCAGCGAAAUGCGAUAAGUAAUGUGAAUUGCAGAAUUCAGUGAAUCAUCGAAUCUUUGAACGCACAUUGCGCCCUUUGGUAUUCCGAAGGGCAUGCCUGUUCGAGCGUCAUUACAACCCUCAAGCUCUGCUUGGUAUUGGGCACCGUCCUUUGCGGGCGCGCCUCAAAGACCUCGGCGGUGGCGUCUUGCCUCAAGCGUAGUAGAACAUACAUCUCGCUUCGGAGCGCAGGGCGUCGCCCGCCGGACGAACCUUCUGAACUUUUCUCAAGGUUGACCUCGGAUCAGGUAGGGAUACCCGCUGAACUUAAGCAUAUCAAUAAGCGGAGGAA
rnacentral:rRNA from 1 species